GAUGAACGCUGGCGGCGUGCCUAAUACAUGCAAGUCGAACGGAAAGGCCCUGCUUUUGUUCGUUUCUCGUGUGGCGAACGGGUGAGUAUCACGUGAGUAUCCUGUCCCUGUCUUUGUGAUAUCUCCUGGAAACUGGGGCUAUUAUCGGAUAGGAUCUCUUGCUGCAUGGUGGUGGUUGGAAAGUUUCGGCGGUUGGGGAUCGACUCGCGGCUUAUCAGCUUGUUGGUGGGGUAGUGGCUUACCAAGGCUUUGACGGGUAGCCGGCCUGAGAGGGGGACCGGCCACAUUGGGACUGAGAUACGGCCCAGACUCCUACGGGAGGCAGCAGUGGGGAAUAUUGCACAAUGGGCGGGAGCCUGAUGCAGCAACGCCGCGUGCGGGAUGACGGCCUUCGGGUUGUAAACCGCUUUCGCCUGUGACGAAGCGUGAGUGACGGUAAUGAGUAAAGAAGCACCGGCUAACUACGUG
rnacentral:rRNA from 1 species